UGGGGAAUUUUGGACAAUGGGCGAAAGCCUGAUCCAGCAAUGCCGCGUGUGUGAAGAAGGCCUUCGGGUUGUAAAGCACUUUUGUCCGGAAAGAAAUCCUUGGCUCUAAUACAGUCGGGGGAUGACGGUACCGGAAGAAUAAGCACCGGCUAACUACGUGCCAGCAGCCGCGGUAAUACGUAGGGUGCAAGCGUUAAUCGGAAUUACUGGGCGUAAAGCGUGCGCAGGCGGUUUGCUAAGACCGAUGUGAAAUCCCCGGGCUCAACCUGGGAACUGCAUUGGUGACUGGCAGGCUAGAGUAUGGCAGAGGGGGGUAGAAUUCCACGUGUAGCAGUGAAAUGCGUAGAGAUGUGGAGGAAUACCGAUGGCGAAGGCAGCCCCCUGGGCCAAUACUGACGCUCAUGCACGAAAGCGUGGGGAGCAAACAGGAUUAGAUACCCUGGUAGUCCACGCCCUAAACGAUGUCAACUAGUUGUUGGGGAUUCAUUCCUUAGUAACGUAGCUAACGCGUGAAGUUGACCGCCUGGGGAGUACGG
rnacentral:rRNA from 1 species